AUGGUUUAUGGAGCGGAUGCGGUUCUCCCCAGUGAUAUCCGUCAUGAUUCACCUCGUGUCACGGCUUAUAUUGAAGCGGACAAUGAGACAGCACGACAAGAUGCCUUGGACCAGUUGGAUGAAGAGCGUGACAUCGCAGCCGCCCGAUCGGCGAUUUAUCAGCAGGAUCUUCGUCUUUAUCAUAGUCGCCGAGUCAGAACCAGAGCCUUUCAGGAAGGAGAUUUGGUGCUUCGGCUCAUCCAAGAUCAGACUAGUAUGCAUAAGCUAUCCCCACCUUGGGAGGGUCCUUUCGUGGUCAGCAAGAAUCUGCACAACGGGUCAUACUAUAUGAUUGAUAUUCGAGAGCAUAAGGACUCACGUACAUCAGAGGAGGAGACUAGCAGGCCAUGGAAUAUAGCUCAUCUUCGGCCUUACUAUACCUGA
rnacentral:rRNA from 1 species